AUACGUAGGUGGCGAGCGUUGUCCGGAAUUACUGGGUGUAAAGGGCGCGUAGGCGGGGGAGCAAGUCAGAUGUGAAAUACCGGGGCUCAACCUCGGGGCUGCAUCUGAAACUGUUCUUCUUGAGUGCCGGAGAGGAAAGCGGAAUUCCCAGUGUAGCGGUGAAAUGCGUAGAGAUUGGGAGGAACACCAGUGGCGAAGGCGGCUUUCUGGACGGUAACUGACGCUGAGGCGCGAAAGCGUGGGGAGCAAACAGGAUUAGAUACCCUGGUAGUCCACGCUGUAAACGAUGAAUACUAGGUGUAGGGGGUAAUAAAACUCUCUGUGCCGGAGUUAACACAAUAAGUAUUCCACCUGGGGAGUACGGCCGCAAGGUUGAA
rnacentral:rRNA from 1 species